AUAGCUAAGUGGACCAAAGUGGUCGAUUUCAAAUCCAUAGUAUGGAUCAUCUACAUGGAGGGUUCAAAUCCCUCU
rnacentral:tRNA from 1 species